rnacentral:rRNA from 1 species
AUGGAGAAUGGAAUUCAGACAAGUGAACAGUUAAAGCGUGCAGCCAUUGGUCAGGAAAGCAAAGCAGGAUCGAAGGACAGCCAUGCCGUGCAGCUGAUGGAGAGUGGAACUCAGAUAAGUCAACAGCUAAAUCAUGUAGCCGUUGGUCAAGGAAGCAAAGCACAAGCAAAGGACAGCCACCCUGUGCAGCUGAUGGAGAGUGGAAUUCAGAUAAAUGAACAGCUAAAGCGUGCAUCCAUUGGUCAAGGAAGCAAAGCAGAAGUGAAGGACAACCAUGCAAUGCAGCUGAUGGAGAGUGGAAUUGAGAGAAGCAAACAGCUAAAGCGUGCAGCCGUUGGCCGAGAAAUCAAAGCAGAAGUGAAGGACAACCAUGCCUUGCAGUUGAUGGAGAGUGAACUUCAGAGAACUGAACAGCCUCUUGCAGCUGUUGGCAAGGAAGAGGAAGCAGGAUUGAAGGGCAGCCAUGCCGUCCAGCUGCUGGCGAGUGGAAUUCAGAUAAGCGAAGAGCUAAAGCGUGCUGCCGUCGGUCAGGAACGCAAAUCAGAAGCGAAGGACAGCCAUGUCGCGCAGCUGAUGGAGAAUAAAAUACAGAGAAGUGAACAGCCGAAGCGUGAAAAUUUUGGUCAGGAACGUGAAGCAGUAGCAAAGGAUGGCAAUGCCGUGAAGCUGACGGUGAAUAGAAUCCAGAGAAGUGAACAGCCAAAGCGUGAUGUCUCUGGUCAGCAGCACGAAGCAGAAGAAAAGGAUAGACAUGCUGUAAAGUUGAUGGAGGAGAGUGGAAUCCAGGGAAGUGAACAGCCAAAGCCUGCUAAGCCUACCAUGAAAGAUUGCAUCGAUGAACGGAGGCAAUUGCCUCACCAACAUGCGCUGGCUGGCAAGAAGUCCCCAUUUAAUGAGCAGAAGAGACCAGCAUUCAACGAGCCUAAUACCCAAACCACGCCUAGUGGGGUGAAAAGGAGACCGGUUUUUGGACCGGUUGUGACAACUCCAUCACCGAAGAGGCAGAAGCCACUUGAAGAAUGGAAUUGCACCCUCUGUCAAGUGAACCUGACCCGUGAAGAAGACUUGAUGCAACACAAAGCAGGCGAACUACACCGGUUGAACCUUGAGACAUUGCGUUCCAGGCAGAAAGCCUUUGGAUUUGACUUGCGCAACCAUCUCAAGGGCAGCAGCCACCAGGAAAGCGCGCAGGCCCUGCACACAGAAGCCGGGAGCCACCUCAAAGGGAGGAGUCAUCAGGAGAGCGCACAGACCCGGCAGGCAGGAGGAGGCAACGAGGAGGGCAAGCGUUUCGUUGACCGCAGGGGUACUGAAGGUCCGAAGAAGCAGUUUGUAAGAAGAUUUCCCUUCUGCAAUUUAUGCAAAGUGGAGUGCACCAGCGAGAAGGUGAUGCAGUCGCAUCUCGCCGGGAAGAAACACAGGGAGAACCUUGAGGCACGCCAUUGA